UCUGAAAAUAUUCAGACGUUGAACCUGUCAUAGGAGCAUCUGGAAAUUCUACGAAAAUGAGAAUUCCGUUUUGGUUUCUGUUCUUUGCCUUGCUGGCUGCGAUGAGUGCAUUCCAGGUGAACGCUGCAAGAGGUGGGAAAAGUAGUGACUCCAACUCCGAAGAAGAGCAAACUAUUUUUGCGAAACAACACAGGAGACAGAGGAGGGCUGUCAAGGCCGAUUACUGAAGCUUCUCGGCCAUCAGACCUGAUCUUCAGUGCCACAUCAGCUGGGAUGUUGCCUCUGAAUUAAAAAGAGGCCAACUUUAAUGGCUCAAUAAAAUGUGGUGAUAAGACA